rnacentral:misc_RNA from 1 species
AUAACAACCCCUUCGAGCUACCAUUUUGUGUGUGGCUACGGUGUUGGGGCUCGCCGAGGCGGCGGCGGCCCUUAAAGGCAGUGGCAGUACCGAUGUCGGCUUUACGCGUAGUAAAUAGCUCGCGACAGAGCGGCGACGGCGACUAGCCAACAACCACACUCUUUGACUUUAGAUCAUAG